CCUACGGGUGGCAGCAGUGGGGAAUAUUGGGCAAUGGAGGAAACUCUGACCCAGCAACGCCGCGUGAAUGAUGAAGGUCUUCCGAUUGUAAAGUUUUUUUUUUAGGGAAGUAGAAUGUGACGGUUCCUCCUUUAUAAGUCUCGUCUAACUAUGUGCCAGCAGCCGCGGCAUUACGUAGGCGGCGAGCGUUAUCCGGAAUGACUGGGCGUAAAGGGUGCGUAGGUGGUUUGUCAAGUUAGUAGCGUAACUCCAAGGCUCAACCGUGGAAAUGCUACUAAUACUGUUGGACUGGAGUGCAGGAGAGGCAACCGGAAUUCGUGGUGUAGCGGUGGAAUGCGUAGAUAUUAGGAGGAACACCGGUGGCGAAGGCAGGUUGCUAGACUGUAACUGACACUGAGGCACGAAGGCCAGGGGAGCGAAAGGGAUUAGAUACCCCUGUAGUC
rnacentral:rRNA from 1 species